CUUCCAGGGUUUAAUUUGCAGAAGUUGUGCUGAAUGCUGAGGGUUUCGGACAAUGCUUCAAAGUUGAAAGCAAGCUCUUUUGAACACCUGCUCACAAGUAUGAUGUACUUUAUUUAUUUAUUAUAUUUGUCUAAUUAAAGGAAUGGCAUAUAGUACACACAGAAAAUUAGUGGAAAUGUGUUUUUUGUGAUUUGUACUUUUUCCGACCAUUUUGUGCAAAAUGUGUGAGCUGUCUUUGCCAA
rnacentral:lncRNA from 1 species